CAAGCCUCCUUGACGCUGCUAAUAGUCUUGGAUUCAUAGGCUGGCGAUGAUUGAGAUAUUCCCACACGCAAUUUCUGCUGAUCCACAUGAAGGUUAAACUUCCUUGGACGUCUGAGCCAC
rnacentral:snoRNA from 14 species